rnacentral:rRNA from 1 species
UUCGAAGCAACGCGAAGAACCUUACCAGGCCUUGACAUGCAGAGAACUUCCAGAGAUGGAUUGGUGCCUUCGGGAACUCUGACACAGGUGCUGCAUGGCUGUCGUCAGCUCGUGUCGUGAGAUGUUGGGUUAAGUCCGUAACGAGCGCAACCCUUGCCUUUAGUUGCCAGCAGUUCGGCUGGGCACUCUAAAGGGACUGCCGGUGUUAAACCGGAGGAAGGUGGGGAUGACGUCAAGUCCUCAUGGCCUUUAUGACCAGGGCUACACACGUACUACAAUGGCCGAUACAAAGGGCAGCGACACUGCGAGGUGAAGCCAAUCCCGUAAAAUCGGUCUCAGUCCGGAUUGGAGUCUGCAACUCGACUCCAUGAAGUUGGAAUCGCUAGUAAUCGUGGAUCAGCAUGCCACGGUGAAUACGUUCCCGGGCCUU